UGCGGAGAGUGCAAACGUUGCUCGGAUUCAUUGGGCGUAAAGCGCGCGUAGGAGGAGAGGCAAGUUGGAUGUGAAAGCCCUGGGCUCAACCUAGGAUGUGCAUACAAAACUGCCUCGCUUGAAUCUCGGAGGGGGUCAGGGAAUUCCCGGUGUAGAGGUGAAAUUCGUAGAUAUCGGGAGGAACACCAGUGGCGAAGGCGCUGACCUGGACGAUGAUUGACGCUGAGGCGCGAAAGCGUGGGGAGCAAACAGG
rnacentral:rRNA from 1 species